UUGACCUCAAAUCAGGUAGGAUUACCCGCUGAACUUAAGCAUAUCAAUAAGCGGAGGAAAAGAAACUAACAAGGAUUCCCCUAGUAACUGCGAGUGAAGCGGGAAAAGCUCAAAUUUUGAAUCUGGCAGUCUUAAUUGAUUGUCCGAAUUGUAAUCUAGAGAAGCGUCUUCCGCGCUGGACCGUGUACAAGUCUCCUGG
rnacentral:rRNA from 1 species